UAGUUUGCUUCCACAACUACUUUAAUAGCUAAUCUAUUAAGCUUUAAAACUUUUUCUUAUCAACAGAGUUAUAAAGUGGGGGAGGUAUGAGCGGUGAGUGAUCGGCUCAGGCUAGGAGUACUUGAGAAGAACAGGUUUGACAGAGGGAGGGUUAAGAGCAUAGGUAGAAAAGGCUUGUAUGUAGGGGAUUUCUGACCAUUUGCCAUUGCACUGACAGAAGUUGUGUAAAUCACACAGUAUGUUAAAAUUGAAAGUGUCAUUUUUGGGGCGUGGAAACCCAUUAUCUAGUUUAUACUGAGGCCAAACCUGAUUACAAUAGAAAACAAAUCUUUUUGGCCUAAAGUCUGGUCCCAACAAUCCGAGGGGUUUGAGUUGUGCCAGAAGGCAGCCCAGAGGCGUUGAGGGGCGGGGUUUGGAUUGUUGGGCCCCUGAUUAGAGCGGGUGAGGAGGAGGCAGCCCCUGGGGAGAAAGACAAAGGGGAGAAGAGUCCUUGUCUCCUUUGACAAUCUCCCAGUGAGUCUCCCAGAGGGAGAGAAAGAGAGGAGGCGGGCCGAUGGGACGUCUCCCAGGGGCACGGUCCUGGGCCCAGAGGCCGUGGGGGUUUCUCUGACCAAGCGCUUGGAUUUCUGAGAAGUCCCCGGAGGGAGAGAGAACGAGACAGAGAACCCGACGAGAGGGAGGCUGAACUCCCUACUCACCCAGACAUUGGUGACCGAUGUGGAUGUGUAGCGUCAGCAAUGGCAAAGGUAGAAAGCCCCGGAGGGUCCUGGCAACGGCAGAUAGGUCCGUUGGAGAUGGCCAAAAGGUCAAUCAACCCCGUCCUGCGGGGGAUCGUCCCUUAAUGGACCAUCUACCAUCCGAGUCACGGCACCAGAAAUGUCAGCCAGGUCAAAGCUAAUAUUGAUCCAGACCCUGAAGGAUGACGGUGCUGCAGGAACCCGUCCAGUGUACAGAAAGCUUCCAGGUAGGCAUGCCAUGGCUCCGAGCCCAGAGGAGGUGAGCCGUGAGGGUGCCAGGAACACAGACCCACCCUAGUCCCCACCCCCAC
rnacentral:lncRNA from 1 species